UUAAGUUCAGCGGGUCUUCCUACCUGAUCCGAGGUCAACCUUGGGUAAAUAAGGCUUUUAACGGCCGGAACCCGCAGCACUCCCAGAGCGAGAUGUAUUACUACGCUCGGAGUGACUAGCGAGCCCGCCACUAGAUUUAGGGGACGGCGGGCGCGGAGGCUCGCCGAUCCCCAACACAAGCCCGGGGGCUUGAGGGUUGA
rnacentral:misc_RNA from 1 species